rnacentral:rRNA from 1 species
GUGCCAGCCGCUGCGGUAAUACGAAGGGGCUAGCGUUGCUCGGAAUCACUGGGCGUAAAGGGUGCGUAGGCGGGUUUUUAAGUCAGGGGUGAAAUCCUGGAGCUCAACUCCAGAACUGCCUUUGAUACUGAAGAUCUUGAGUCCGGGAGAGGUGAGUGGAACUGCGAGUGUAGAGGUGAAAUUCGUAGAUAUUCGCAAGAACACCAGUGGCGAAGGCGGCUCACUGGCCCGGUACUGACGCUGAGGCACGAAAGCGUGGGAGCAAACAGGAUUAGAUACCCUGGUAGUCCACGCCGUAACGAUGAAUGCCAGCCGUUAGUGGGUUUACUCACUAGUGGCGCAGCUAACGCUUUAAGCAUUCCGCCU